UACAGAGGUCUCAAGCGUUGUUCGGAUUUAUUGGGCGUAAAGAGCUCGUAGGCGGCUUGUUACGUCGACUGUGAAAACCCGCGGCUCAACCGUGUGGCUUGCAGUCGAUACGGGCAGGCUAGAGUUCGGUAGGGGAGACUGGAAUUCCUGGUGUAGCGGUGAAAUGCGCAGAUAUCAGGAGGAACACCGGUGGCGAAGGCGGGUCUCUGGGCCGAUACUGACGCUGAGGAGCGAAAGCGUGGGGAGCGAACAGG
rnacentral:rRNA from 1 species